rnacentral:pre_miRNA from 1 species
UGGUAGACUGGGAAAUCUCUGCAGGCAAAUGUGAUGUAGCUUAAGAAACCACACAGUUACCUGUAGAGAUUCUUCAGUCU